rnacentral:rRNA from 1 species
GUCGAGAGGCUUCGGCAAUGGGGGAAACCCUGACCGAGCGACGCCGCGUGGGGGAUGACGGCCCUUGGGUUGUAAACCCCUUUCGACCGGGAAGAAUGAUCGCGUGACAAAUACUCACGCGAUUUGACGGUACCGGUAUAAGAAGCUCCGGCUAACUCCGUGCCAGCAGCCGCGGUAAUACGGGGGGAGCGAACGUUGUUCGGAAUCACUGGGCGUAAAGGGCGUGUAGGCGGUUCGGUAAGUGGAAUGUGAAAGCCCCCGGCUUACCCGGGGAACUGCAUCCCAUACUGCUGGACUUGAGUGCGGGAGAGGAUGGAGGAAUUCCUGGUGUAGCGGUGAAAUGCGUAGAUAUCAGGAGGAACACCUGUGGCGAAGGCGUCCAUCUGGCCCGUUACUGACGCUGAGGCGCGAAAGCUAGGGGAGCAAACGGGAUUAGAAACCCCGGUAGUCC